rnacentral:tRNA from 1 species
GCGUUAGCUCAGCGGUUAGAGCUUAGGCCUUGUGAUUGGAAGGUCACGGAAUCGAAUCCCGCCAGAGGCA